UUAUUGUGGCUUAGUGGUAGAGCGCUCACCUAGCACAUGAGAAAUGCUAGGUUUGAUCCCCAGCACCACAUAAA
rnacentral:tRNA from 1 species